CCCUAGUAGCUGCGAGCGAACAGGGAAAAGCCCAGCACUGAAUCCCGGGGGCCUCGCUCCCAGGGAAAUGUAGUGUUUGGGAGGGUCCAUAUACCCGAUACCGCCGCACCGCGUCCAAGUCCAUCUUGAAAGAGGCCACGGUCCCGAGAGGGUGCCAGGCCCGUGGUAGGCCGGUGCAGGUGUUGGGUGGACCUCUCCUCAGAGUCAGGUUGCUUGAGAGUGCAGCCCUAAGCGGGUGGUAAACUCCAUCUAAGGCUAAAUACAACCACGAGACCGAUAGCGAACAAGUACCGUGAGGGAAAGUUGAAAAGAACUUUGAAGAGAGAGUUCAAGAGUACGUGAAACCGCUCAGGGGUAAACGGAAAAGACCCGAAAUUUCCGAAGAGGGAGAUUCACGUCUUCUCGCGGGUUCGACGCAUCCGCUCCUCUCCGACGGCCCUGCCCCCGUCCGGACUCGUCCGGCGCGUGGCGGUGGGGUCGCAGAGGGCGGUGUGGAGGCCUGCGGCGGACCGCACUUCUCCCUUAGUAGGACGUCGUGACCCGUCCGGUCAUGGUCUUACGGUUGCAGGGUGGAGCCUGUCCGAUCGUGCUCGCGCACGUCUUCGGGCAGACCCCCGCAUCCCGGCCAUGAAGAUUCCCGGUCGGUAUCGAAUGACGGUGUUCGGCCACUCACCGGCGGAGGAAACUCCUGCUUGUGAGCGCGAUUGUGCCUCGACAAGGUGCCGGGAUGUUUCAGUCAAGGCGGGCUUCCGUCCGUCUGGCUGCUCUCGGCCCUGUUGGUCGGUGGACCUCUCUCGCUGGCCUAUUUGUACACUUGUCUACGGCGAAUCGUCAUUGGGUGGUAAAACCCAAAGGCGUAAUGAAAGUGAAGGGGACUUUACGUUUCUGAGGGAGGAUGGGUCGGUCACCCGCAAGGGGCCACCCCGCACUCCCGGGGCGUCUCUUUCUCAUUGCGAGUGGAGGCGCACCCAGAGCGUACACGCUGAUACCCGAAAGAUGGUGAACUAUGCCUGGCCAGGACGAAGCCAGGGGAAACCCUGGUGGAGGUCCGCAGCGAUUCUGACGUGCAAAUCGAUCGUCGGAGCUGGGUAUAGGGGCGAAAGACCAAUCGAACCAUCUAGUAGCUGGUUCCCUCCGAAGUUUCCCUCAGGAUAGCUUGCGCUCACGUGAACGAGUCUCAUCCGGUAGAGCGAAUGAUUAGAGGCCUUGGGGUCGAAACGACCUCAACCUAUUCUCAAACUCCAAAUAGAUGAGAACUCCGGCUUUCUUGAACACACGUUUUUGAAGCCGGGGGCUCGGAUCAGAGUGCCAAGUGGGCCAAUUUUGGUAAGCAGAACUGGCGCUGUGGGAUGAACCAAACGUCGAGUUAAGGCGCCUAAAUCGACGCUCAUGUGAAACCAUGAAAGGCGUUGGUUGCUUAAGACAGCAGGACGGUGGCCAUGGAAGUCGGAAUCCGCUAAGGAGUGUGUAACAACUCACCUGCCGAAGCAACUAGCCCUGAAAAUGGAUGGCGCUGUAGCGUCGUGCCUAUACUCGACCGUCAACGGCAAAGAUGGCUGGCGGGCAACCGUCGGCCGUUAAGCCUUGACGAGUAGGAGGGCCGCGSCGGUGUGCGUAGAAGGGUCUGGGCGCGAGCCUGCCUGGAGCCGCCGUCGGUGCAGAUCUUGGUGGUAGUAGCAAAUACUCCAGCGAGGCCCUGGAGGACUGAUGUGGAGAAGGGUUUCUUGUGAACAGCUGUUGCACAAGAGUCAGUCGGUCCUAAGCCCUAGGAGAAAUCCGAAGCGAUGGGUUGCCGUGAACGAACGCACGKUUUUUUUUGCUGGCACCCGUUUGGGCGAAAGGGAAUCCGGUUCCUAUUCCGGAACCUGGCAGUGGAACCGUUCCAAKUCGGGCCCUCUGAGGACUCGUCAGGGCAACCUGAAUAGACCCGGAGACGCCGACAGGAGGUUUGGGGGAGAGUUGUCUCUUCUCU
rnacentral:rRNA from 1 species